UUCCCCCUCCUACUAAAAUUAAAAUCGCAAUAUCUUCUUAAAUGAUACGUUUUAUAAAGAAAAAAUUGGAUGGUUACAAUCGCCUUUUAAAGCUGCAUUUAAUGGUGUAUUUUUUAUUUUUUCAUGAAAAUAGCCCACAUCGACACCCUUUAACAAGGCGAGAUAGGGAAAGAGUCCCGUCCUUUAGUUACAGUAGUCCAUGGUCCAACCAUGGAAUGAGUCACUGAGAUGUGACUAAGUCAACCAAACGGGGCAACAACAAUUAGACAGCAUUGAAAUUAGUCAGUGGAAAACAACACAUUCAUUCCUGACAUGAUUGAGAUUUGCCAUGUUUUCAGGCUAACUGGAAGGAUUCCUCUUUUUCACAGAAAUUUUAUCAUUUUCAUGGUAUACUAAACUGCUUGCUGGUGGAUUGUCACUUGGCAUCAUUCGAAUGGUUUGGUCCAUAUCAGCAGUGUUAUGAUGCACUUCUUAAGUACACAAAUCCCUCAGAAAAUAUUCUAAUUGAAAUUAGGAAAAUUUCUGCCCUUCAUGCAGAACUGCACAAUGAUGGGUUCAUAUAAACAAGCUUGAAAUAACAAGGUAGUAUGAAAUAUCUUCUCUUGGAUGUUUUUGUCUAUGGAUUUGUUUGAGAUGACCCUUGAGGCAGGAAGCUUUUCCUGCUUCUUACAAAAGGGGACAUUGGAUGCCUUAAUGUCUAAUACCAACCAAGUGUCAUUGCAAAGAUAGGUAGAAUAAUCGCAAUUUCGUGGUAGUAAUUCGCGAGAGAUAUGCCAAUAGGGUUUCGCUGUUUUCAAUUCACAAUCGUAAUGGAUUUGAAGAGGAUAUUGAUGGAAGUUUUGGUGUAAAAAAGUAUAAGUACAUGUUCGUUGGAAGGGUAACCGAAGAGUUCCGGAUCCUUAUACUAUCGUACAUGUUAUGGUAUUUUUACAAAAUCAUAGAAGUGCUUAUCUGGGCCGCCUUGUUUUCUGUGGCCCCGUUUCCCCUUGACUUAUAUUAUUUUCUUUAACCCUUUAGUGUGUUUAAAACUAAAGGCUAAAAGAGGAAGAAUGAUUCAAAAAUUGUGGGAUAGAAUCAUCAAAGAAUUAUACUCGUUUAGGUAAUCCAAGGAAAUAAGAAAGAGUAAUAACUCGGCGUAGUCUUCGAUUUCAUCUUUUUAAAAGCUGUUUUUACUGUCCAUGGGAAUUUUUUGGUCGAGACGUUAUGGGUGUCUUAAAUGCACUGAAGGUUGCGUUAGAUGUCAUAAUCCCCAUCAAAAGGGAACGCUUAAAAUCCCAGGUGGCGAUGGUAAUUAGUGGCAAUGUUACGGUGUAGGUAACUUCAGAAAAUGUGAUGCUAGCUGAUGUAAACCGCACCAGCUGUGCUAAUACCAAGUCUGUCUCAUUAUGCAGGCUAGCAGGAAAAGGUUGUGAGAGUAGCAGAAGAAGAGGAAAUUGCAGUAAACCCGGUUUUGAAAGAAGCCAAACAUUCUGACAAUAUGGGAGCUCAGUCUGUGGAAACAAAAACCUCAUGUUUCAGGUAGAAAGACGAAAGGAACACAUCGUUCCUCAGCUACAUCUGAGGACUACUGUCACCGAAAGAAAAUCACCUUGCUUAUAGACUCGGAAGGUGAAAGCAAGACCCAAAAAUUUGCAACAACGAAGCAAGUAAGAAGUAUUUUGGCAGUUUAUCGUGCACGCAAAGCUAAAUAGUCAAUUAAAUAAAAUUUUCUUAACACAUUUUACAUGACCAUUCGUUUAAAACGAUAUUAUGUCCUCCACUGUUAGUUACAGACGACAAUUUGUAAAUGCGUCACAACAUGCCCAUAAAAAUUCUACGGAGUUGGUUAUUUCGCCCCUAGAUGUCUUGAAAAUAUACUGAAAAUGUCAGCUGUCCCGUCGGCUGUUCUAUUUCGCGUGGCCUCGGACUGAGGAUGUCUGCUGAAACGAACGUCUCUCUUUUUGAAAUUUUACCUCCGAUUCCGUGUGUUUUCAGUUGCAUCUUGUGAAUUCCAUCAAUGCAGAGUUGUUCAAGGAGGAACAUGGUUUGGCUUUGCUAUCGCGUUUUUCAUCUCCGUUUUGAUAUACCCAUUUUGUUUCAAAGGUCUUUGGGAUGUACCUGAUGUACUGUGGUGGCUGCAAAAUCAUUCAAUGACUUGGUUCAAUCCAGGUCUUGGUUUUUUAAAUAGUGGUUUACAGUUUUAAUUUGCAGAGAUCCUGGAGUCACCUGAUGUGUUUCAUUGGCGUUGGAGUCACUCGGUGACAGAAGAGAAUGCCACUCAUGUUAUGUUGUCAGUGUAAAUAAAACAUAUCCAGUAUCA